UACCAGGUUCAUCGUUGGGUCAAUUAUGAAUCCAUGCUGAAAGAAUGCCUGGUUGGCAGAAUGGCAGUUAAGCCUACCAUUCCAAAAGACUAUCAUGAGGAAAAGAAAGUCUUAAAUGGCAUGCUUCCCAAGAGCCAAGUGACAGAUACACUUGCCAAAGAAGGUCCUAGUUCUCCAAGCUAUGACUGGUUCCAAACAGACUCUUUAGUCACCGUUGUCAUAUACACUAAACAGAA